GAAUUCGCCCUUAGAGUUUGAUCCGGCUCAGGACGAACGCUGGCGGCGUGCCUAACACAUGCAAGUCGAACGGGGUUGAGCCCUUCGGGACUCAACUUAGUGGCGAACGGGUGAGUAACGCGUGAGAAACCUACCUUUCAGUGGGGGACAACAGUUGGAAACGACUGCUAAUACCGCAUAAUGUAUUUGGGGGGCAUCCCUUGGAUACCAAAGCUUGAUGUGCUGAAAGAUGGUCUCGCGUCUGAUUAGCUAGUUGGCGGGGUAACGGCCCACCAAGGCGACGAUCAGUAGCCGGUCUGAGAGGAUGAACGGACACAUUGGGACUGAGAUACGGCCCAGACUCCUACGGGAGGCAGCAGUGGGGAAUAUUGGGCAAUGGGGGAAACCCUGACCCAGCAACGCCGCGUGAAGGAAGAAGGCCUUCGGGUUGUAAACUUCUUUUAGCAGGGACGAAGGACGUGACGGUACCUGCAGAAAAAGCAACGGCUAACUACGUGCCAGCAGCCGCGGUAAUACGUAGGUUGCAAGCGUUGUCCGGAUUUACUGGGUGUAAAGGGCGUGUAGGCGGAGGUGCAAGUUGGGAGUGAAAUCCAUGGGCUCAACCCAUGAACUGCUUUCAAAACUGUACCCCUUGAGUGUCGGAGAGGCAAGCGGAAUUCCUAGUGUAGCGGUGAAAUGCGUAGAUAUUAGGAGGAACACCAGUGGCGAAGGCGGCUUGCUGGACGAUAACUGACGCUGAGGCGCGAAAGCGUGGGGAGCAAACAGGAUUAGAUACCCUGGUAGUCCACGCUGUAAACGAUGAAUACUAGGUGUGGGAGGACUGACCCCUUCCGUGCCGCAGUUAACACAAUAAGUAUUCCACCUGGGGAGUACGACCGCAAGGUUGAAACUCAAAGGAAUUGACGGGGGCCCGCACAAGCAGUGGAUUAUGUGGUUUAAUUCGACGCAACGCGAAGAACCUUACCAGGACUUGACAUCCAACUAACGAAGUAGAGAUACAUUAGGUGCCCUUCGGGGAAAGUUGAGACAGGUGGUGCAUGGUUGUCGUCAGCUCGUGUCGUGAGAUGUUGGGUUAAGUCCCGCAACGAGCGCAACCCCUAUUGUUAGUUGCUACGAAAGAGCACUCUAGCGAGACUGCCGUUGACAAAACGGAGGAAGGGGGGGAGGAGGUCAAAUCAUCAUGCCCCUUA
rnacentral:rRNA from 1 species